UCAGCUAAGGUCCCUAAAUGUAAGUUAAGUGGUAAAGGAUGUGGGAUUGCACAGACAACCAGGAUGUUGGCUUAGAAGCAGCCACUCAUUCAAAGAGUGCGUAAUAGCUCACUGGUCGAGUGAUCCUGCGCCGAAGAUUUCCGGGGCUAAAACUUACUACCGAAGCUACGGCAUCAGUAAUGAUGGGUAGGGGAGCUUCCCAUACGGGUUGAAGCAUGACCGUAAGGACAUGUGGACAGUAUGGGAGUGAGAAUGUUGGCAUGAGUAGCGAGAUGUGGGUGAGAAUCCCACAGGCCGUAAACCCAAGGUUUCCAGGGGAAGGUUCG
rnacentral:rRNA from 1 species